rnacentral:rRNA from 1 species
GCGCGAAAAUUCUCCAAUGCACGCAAGUGUGAGAGAGGAAUCUUGAGUGCUUUUCUUAAACGAAAAGCUUUUGUGUACUGUAAAAAGGUACAAGAAUAAGGGCUGGGCAAGAUCGGUGCCAGCAGCCGCGGUAAUCCCGACGGCCCAAGUGGGACUCGCAAUUAUUGGGUCUAAAACAUUCGUAGCUGGUUUUAUAAGUUUCUUGUUAAAUUGUCUAGCUUAACUAGAUAGCUGCAAGAAAUACUAUAAAGCUAGGGACUGGGAGAUGUAACGAGUAUGUUUAGGGUAAUGGUAAAAUAUGUUAAUCCUAGAUAGACUAACAAUGGCGAAGGCACGUUACAAUAACAGAUCCGACAGUGAGGAAUGAAGGCCAGGGGCGCAAAUUGGAUUAGAUACCCAAGUAGUCCUGGCAGUAAACCCUGCAUACUAAACAUUGUGAUCUCCUCGAGAGAUUGCAGUGCUGAAGCGAAGGCGGAAGUAUGCUACCUGGGGAGUAUAGUCGCAAGAUCGAAACUUAAAGGAAUUGG